UGGCGGCCGCCGCCGGGUGGGCGGGCGCCAGCCGAGGGGCCUCUCCAUUCAUUCCCUCAUUAGGGAUGCGGGGCCGCCUCCGCCCGCCCGCCCGGCCGGCCGGAUUUCAGGAGUGACUCGCCCCACCCGCGGAUCUGGCUGUCCGCCCCCCACCCCGCAGAACCUCCGGCGUCCUGCGAUCUGAUGUUGAUUCUUGUAUGGCUUUUAAACCGGCUUUGGGGACAGACACAUGGGGAUGUUCUGAAACCUAAACAAAAAUCGAGUCUGUCUCAUGAAGAUGUAUCACCUCCGGACUGGAGAAGUGGGGUUCGGCAGGAAAGAGUGCUUGCUAGAUAGACACAAAGCCCUGAGUUUGAACCCCCAGCAUCGUGUAAAAAGCCAGGUGUAGAUACUGAGGAACACAUGCUUGUGUUAAUGGCUUACAUUACAUGCCUGGUGCAUAGCCCUUCUCUGUGAGUUCAAACUGAGAAUAAAGAGGUUCAACUGCUAAA